UACGUAGGGGGCUAGCGUUGUCCGGAUUUAUUGGGCGUAAAGAGCGUGUAGGCGGCCAGGUAGGUCUGCUGUGAAAACUCGAGGCUCAACCUCGAGACGUCGGCGGAAACCAUCUGGCUAGAGUCCGGAAGAGGAGAGUGGAAUUCCCGGUGUAGCGGUGAAAUGCGCAGAUAUCGGGAAGAACACCCGUGGCGAAGGCGGCUCUCUGGGACGGUACCGACGCUGAGACGCGAAAGCGUGGGGAGCGAACAGG
rnacentral:rRNA from 1 species